rnacentral:rRNA from 1 species
GAUGAACGCUGGCGGCGUGCCUAAUACAUGCAAGUCGAGUGAACAGACGAGGAGCUUGCUCCUUUGACGUUAGCGGCGGACGGGUGAGUAACACGUGGGUAACCUACCUAUAAGACUAGGAUAACUUCGGGAAACCGGAGCUAAUACCGGAUAAUAUUUCGAACCGCAUGGUUCGAUAGUGAAAGAUGGCUCUGCUAUCACUUAUAGAUGGACCUGCGCCGUAUUAGCUAGUUGGUAAGGUAACGGCUUACCAAGGCAACGAUACGUAGCCGACCUGAGAGGGUGAUCGGCCACACUGGAACUGAGACACGGUCCAGACUCCUACGGGAGGCAGCAGUAGGGAAUCUUCCGCAAUGGGCGAAAGCCUGACGGAGCAACGCCGCGUGAGUGAUGAAGGUCUUCGGAUCGUAAAACUCUGUUAUUAGGGAAGAACAAACGUGUAAGUAACUGUGCACGUCUUGACGGUACCUAAUCAGAAAGCCACGGCUAACUACGUGCCAGCCGCCGCGUAAAAC